UACGUAGGGGGCAAGCGUUGUCCGGAAUCAUUGGGCGUAAAGAGCGUGUAGGCGGUCCGGUAAGUCGGCUGUGAAAGUCCAGGGCUCAACCCUGGGAUGCCGGUCGAUACUGCCGGACUAGAGUUCGGUAGGGGAGACUGGAAUUCCUGGUGUAGCGGUGAAAUGCGCAGAUAUCAGGAGGAACACCGAUGGCGAAGGCAGGUCUCUGGGCCGAUACUGACGCUGAGGAGCGAAAGCGUGGGGAGCGAACAGG
rnacentral:rRNA from 1 species